CUGAGAUCAUGACCUGAGCCGAAGGCAGCGGCUUAACCCACUGAGCCACCCAGGCGCCCCAGGUUUUCUUUUUUAAAGUAAACUCUGUAUUCAACGUUGGGCUCUACCUUGUAACCCUGAGAUCAAGAGUUGCAUGUUCUACCGACUGAGCCAGCCAGGCACCCCAGUUUGCUCUCUAUCUAAAGUUAGGGUCCUCCUUUAUGGCAAUGAUUGCUUUACUGGCUUUAAGGAGCCCAGGCCUAAGUCAAGUUUGAAUUAACCCCUUGGUUGUGUCACAGGGGUGCUAUGAGUGCUUUUCCCCAAUAAUCCUGAGAAUCAGGAGUUCUGUCCUGUCCUGUCCGCUGAGCUUAGGUUCCUAACCGCUUCACGCAGCAACAUCUUACUCCCGUGGGCAAGAGUCAAUCAUCCUUGCAACUAUCACCCAGCAGUGCUGGCAGGGGUGGUGGUGAGGGGGGCAUCAGGUCAAUUUAUUUUGUGAGGCAGAUGAAAACACGGCAUGGGCUGGCUGUGUUUUACCCAGACCCACAGGGCCUGUUCUCAGUCACUGUGUUUCCUCCAGGAGUAACAACUGGUCUGAAGGGGGGGGGGAUUUCCCUUUCCUCUUUUUCCCUCUACUUUUCUCUAAGUCCCAGGGCCUGAUUGGUUAAGUGCCCAGAGAGGAGUCAUGGUGACUCACAAUGGUUCUCAAAACUUUGUGACCACAUGCAAUGAAUGGCAGGCUAUGGACACUGACUAACACCACCUGGGUUACUUCUGGUUCAGGGCUGAACACGGUGAGUGGGGGAGUGCCACGGGAAGGGGGGUCAGCUAUUACAGGUCCUAGGGUACCAUUUCCAUACCCGCUCCCUGCGAUGCACCACUCUGUCUUAUGUCAGACCUCUUCGCCGGAUGAUGCAAAAUCUCUCCGUGAACAUUUUCCCUGUGGGGCUCACCACACUGUCCUAACGGUGUUCAAUGCAUUUCAACAGGUCCACUGGGCAAUGGUCAGUGACUCUGGCCUCGAGAUCCAAUCACCCAGUGAGAGCGGCAAGGGAACUCAGUCCCAGGCUUCCUCCAUUGUGCUCUUUGUGAAGCCAUCCGUAGCGCCAACGAGUCAUGGAGAGGGUAUGCUCUGAAGUCCGUCCCAGCAUACCCAUCCCGAGCAUCAAGAGGAAGGCAGACGAAUACUUAAAACCCACCCUGGGCUCCAAAAACGUCCUGAGCUUUUUACUCGGUAGGCAGUUAGGGAGCCACAGAAAUGAUCUGGAUCUGUCCAAGUGGCUGUGGAUGCUGACGCGAGCCGCACCAGAGUGGAGGUGGCCCUUGCCAAAAAAUCACAUAACCUAUGUGCUCAUGCCUCCGUGCAAUUUUGGAAAAUGCAAAAAACCGGUUUAGAAUAACAAUAGCCUUGCUUCAGCUGUUCAAAUAAAAGCUGCAUUUUCACUCCCAUGGUUUGACACGUUUUUAUGACCAAGCAGCUUUCUUGGGUUAGUUACUCUGGGGAUUCCGUGCCUGGUAAUGCGGAAUGCUGGGGCUCUCCCGGCCUGGGAGGUGGUGAGAUCCCAUAGCAGGUCCCAUCUCGUCCACCUUAACCUGAAACAAGAGUCAGGGAAUGGUGAUGCAGAAGUGGGUCCUUCCAGAGCCGAGACUCCCGUCCCUAGGCCUGGGUGUGGCCCCCUGGGAAACCUAGUCGCUACCCUGGUGAAACACAUUGUCUGACAACAGGGUUCAAGCCCUUGGAAAAUUGAGGACACCCAUAUUUUAAAUUCUGAGGCUCAUGAGACUAUCAUUUAGAAACUACAGCAUUACUUCUUUGCUGGCUCUAUUUUAUUUAAAAGAAUUUAGAGCACUGGGCAUUUGAAUAUGGCAAUGUCCCAUUGUAACAGCACACUCCAGCCAGUCUUAGGGGUGAACUUGCCUUAAGCUUAGGGGCUCCUUGCUUACUGACCUAAGCCCCUUGGUGUGUGGUGGAACUAACCUCUUUCCUUGAGAUUUGCAGACCGCUGGCCUUGAGGAGUGAAGGACCAGACUUUCCCAGGAGAUAAGGCCUGUUGGCCUGGGAAAACAGCUCGGGCUGGUGCCAGCAAGUCUGUCCAAGUCUGUCUGCUUCUCCCGUGCACAGCUUCGCCCCCACCCCCUUUUCCUGAGUCUUCUCUUUGAAAAUGGUCAGGCUCCUCCUGGAUGGGGAAGAUGGUCUUUGAGACUUCUGCCCGCUAUCUCCCAGGCUGCUGGCCUCCUGAAUAAAGCAACCUUUCCUUUCCC
rnacentral:lncRNA from 1 species